rnacentral:misc_RNA from 1 species
UCUCCGUAGGUGAACCUGCGGAGGGAUCAUUACAGAGUUCAUGCCCUAACGGGUAGAUCUCCCACCCUAUGUUAUCAUCACUUUGUUGCUUUGGCGGGCCGUCAGGCCUCGGCUUGGCUACCGGCUCUCGCUGGUAAGCGCCCGCCAGAGAACCCCAAACCCUGAAUAUCAGUGUCGUCUGAGCACUAUAUAAUAGUUAAAACUUUCAACAACGGAUCUCUUGGUUCUG